AGCGGCGAAAGGGAGAGGACAACAUAGGAAACUGCCCUGGGGACGAGGAUAGCGUCGGGAAACUGACGGUAAUACUCGAUAACAUCUACGGAUCAAAGGUGUGAUUCCGCCCUGGGAUGAGCCUAUGCCCCAUUAGCUAGUUGGCGGUGUAAUGGACCACCAAGGCUAUGACGGGUAGCUGGUGUGAGAGCACGACCAGCCUCACUGGCACUGAGACACUGGCCAGACACCUACGGGUGGCUGCAGUCGAGAAUCUUCGGCAAUGGACGAAGGUCUGACCGAGCGACGCCGCGUGCGGGAUGAAGGUCUUCGGAUUGUAAACCGCUGUCGAGGGGAAUCAAAUGCAGGGGGGUUCUCCCCCUUGUUUGAGAGAACCCUGGAGGAAGGGGGGGCUAGGCUCGUGCCAGCAGCCGCGGUAAGACGAGCUCCCCAAACGUUAUUCGGUAUCACUGGGCUUAAAGAGUUCGUAGGCGGCAAAGUAGGUGAGGUGUGAAAGCCCUCGGCUCAACCGAGGAACUGCGCUUCAAACCGCUUUGCUAGAGGGAGAUAGGGGUAAGCGGAACAGAUGGUGGAGCGGUGAAAUGCAUUGAUAUCAUCUGGAACACCGAUGGCGAAAGCGGCUUACUGGAUCUUUUCUGACGCUGAGGAACGAAAGCUAGGGUAGCGAACGGGAUUAGAUACCCCGGUAGUCCUAGCCGUAAACGAUGAGCACUAGUCUGAG
rnacentral:rRNA from 1 species